UACGGAGGGUGCAAGCGUUAAUCGGAAUUACUGGGCGUAAAGCGUGCGCAGGCGGUUUUGUAAGUCAGGAGUGAAAUCCCAGAGCUUAACUCUGGAAUUGCUUUUUGAAACUACAAGGCUAGAGUGAGUUAGAGGAUGGCGGAAUUCCUAGUGUAGUGGUGAAAUACGUAGAUAUUAGGAAGAACACCGGUGGCGAAGGCGGCCAUCUGGGACUCAACUGACGCUGAGGCGCGAAAGCGUGGGGAGUCAAACAGGA
rnacentral:rRNA from 1 species